AAGCAAUUAUGUAAUGAAGAACAACUCUUUGAAGGGUGACACAGAAGCAGAUCCUAGUGGGAGCAAACAAGAAAUACCAUCUCUUUAUUUCACCAGAAAGCGUCUAAGGCCGAUAUCUUUCCGAAAUUCACCGCAAGAUGGAAGAAUUCGGGAACAUGGAGAGAGGUUAGAAGCCAAUUAGAGUAGAAAAUGGAAAGGAAAGGAGGUAUUGGAAGAGGGGGUUUCUAACACUUGAAUCAGAAGUCGGGUUAUUAUGAAGUGGAUAUAUCGGAGAGAGGGCAAAAUGGUGGCAUUUGGGUUCUAGCAGAUAGGUCUUGGAAUCAGAGCAGACUCGUGGACAUUACUGAUCACUGUGUUACUAUUAAGGUGAAUAAGGGCUCUUGUAUUUGGAUGUGCAGUACGAUUUAUGCCCACCCACAAGCUCAUCGUCAUUCAGAUUUUUAGAACUACCUUACCAAGACAGCCGCGGGUAUUUCUUGUCCUUGGUUAAUCAUAGGUGACUUUAAUGAAGUGCUUGUAUCAUCUGAAGUAAAGAGAGGAGCUUUUCAUGCCAAUAGAUCUCAAGCCUUCGCAACGACCAUAGAUAAUUGUGGGCUUAUAGAUAUGGGAGCUAAAGGGAGAAGAUUUUCUUGGCACAGGAGAGUAAAAGGGGGCUUGGAGGUUCCAAAAAAGCUGGAUAAGGCUUUCAUCAAUAGAGAAUGGCGUUUGUUAUUUUCAGAGGCUUUCUAUGAGAUUUUUAGUAGAUUACAUUCCGAUCAUUCCUCUAUCAUUGUUAAGAGUCAACUAGAUGAAGCGAAUCAAAAAUCUAAAAAUCAUCCUUUUAGGUUCCAAGCUGCACGGACCACCUACCCCUUGUUCUGUGAGGUAGUUCAUAAGGCAUGGGUUUUGGCUCUUUGGAUGUUUCAAAAAGUCUUGUUGUUGUGGCAAAGGAUGCUCAGAAAUUCAAUUUGGAGGUUUUUGGUAAUAUUUGUGUUAAGAAAAGGGAGCUUGAAGGAUAAAUUAGCAAAGUUCAAUUUUUGUUGAAGAGUCUUGAUGAUCAGCAUUUCAAGGAUGAAGAAAAUAGGCUUCAAAAAGAGCUCAAUUCUAUUCUUCUAAGAGAAGAACUCUUUUGGUACCAAAAGUCUAGAGAGAAAUGAGUGAAGUUCGGAGACAGAAACAUGAGUUUUUUUUACCUCCAAACUCUUGUCAGAAGAAAAAGGAAUAAAAUUUAUAACCUUAUGUUAGAGAAUAGUACUUGGUCUAAUGAUGCUUAUUCUUUAAAGGAGGAAGCUAAUAAGUUCUUCCAGUGUCUCUAUUGUUUUCGGAAGAAUGUAAAGUUUAAUGUUCUGGAUGGUAUUCCCCUUCUGCAUCUUAGUCAAGAAGCUUGCGAGACUCUAACUAAACCGGUCUCCUUUGAGGAAGUAAGACAUGUUGUCAUGGAGAUGAAUGCCUUUAAGGCUCCAGGUCUAGAUGGGUUCCAAGCUUUGUUCUUUAAGGAAUAUUAGGAUGAGAUGUCUGGAGGAUUGUUUGUAGAGCCUUUUCGGGAGAAAUUUUGGAUGGUUCUAUUUUUGAGACUCUUAUUGUUCUCAUUUUGAGGGUUGAUAGCCUCAUUGCAAUGAAGGAUUUCAGGCCGAUCAGCAUAUACAAUGUGACUUAUAACAUUAUUACCAAGGUGUUGGUGACUUGUCUUCGUUCCUUUCUAAUAGAGGUGAUUGGUCCUCUAUUGGCAGGAUUUAUUUCGGGAAAAAGUACUAGUGAGAACAUCAUUAUUGUCUAAGAGAUCCUUAACUUUAUGCGAAAGACCAAAUCAAAGAGGGGGACUGUUGCAUUCAAAAUUGACCUUGAGAAGGCUUUUGAUAGGUUGGAUUGGAGAUUCCUUCAUCAUUCCCUUCAAAGUUUUGGCUUUCCUGGCAGUACAAAUAAAUUGAUCAUGAAUUGUAUCUGCUCCUCCUCGUUAUCGAUUUUAUGGAAUGAUGAAAGGUUGCAGAACUUUAAUAUGAAAAGAGAACUCUGACAAGGUGAUCCGUUAUCGCUUUAUUUGUUUGUAUUGUGUAUGGAGCAAUUGGCUUGUCUCAUCUCUCAUCUUGUGACUAAUGAAUCUUGGAGUCCAGUUGCUAUUUCCAAAGGAGGUCCUCGAAUUUUAUACUUGAUGUUUGCUGACAACCUUAUUCUUUUUCGUAAAGCAAUCAGAUCCCAAGUCGCAAUGGUAAUACAAACCCUUAAUCUGUUUACCAAAGUUUUAGGAUUGAAAGUUAAUCUGUCCAAGUUUAAGGCUUUUUGCUCUAAAGAAUAUUUUUCAAAGGAGAAAAGAGGCGUUGUCGGGGGUCUCUCAUAUUUAAUUUACUCAAAUUUUGGAAAAGUAUUUAGGUGUCAAUAUUGGCCAUGGGAGAACAACAAAGAGGAUAGCUUAGGAGGUAAUUGAAAAAGUUUAUGGCAGACUGGCUAAUUAGAAAGGACGUCUUCUCAACAAGGCAAGUAGACUUUGUUUGGUUAAAUCGGUUCUGUCCUCUAUACCAAUAUAUCAAAUACAGAUUUUUUAUCUUUCAACCUAUGCUUGUGAGAGAAUUGAUUCGAUGAUGAGACAAAUCUUUUAGAAGGGUCAGGCGGACAAGAAGGGCUUAGCUCUUGUAAAGUAGGACAAGGUUGUAACUCCUAAAAAAUUUGGAGGCUUGUGUGUCCGUGAUUCGCAGUGUGUUAACAUAGCUCUUCUCGAAAAGCUCGUUUGGUAACUUUUCCAUAGCAAAGACAAGCUUUGGACGGAACUCCUGACCAAGAAAUAUUUUUCUCCUUUCAAAGGUUGGAAAAAUACGAAUAGAGCAUCUCAGGUUUACAAGAGUGUUAUGAAGGCUUAUAAACACUUAAAAGAUGGUUUUGUGUGGUGUUGUGGGAACUUGGACCAAUCAUUAUGGUUUGAACCGUGGUCUCCUUUUGAUAAUUUGGCAGAUACCAUUUCUUAUGUUCAUAUAACUGAUCUCCAUCUUUCGAUUGGUGAUGUGAUACAUAAUAGAAGUUAGAAUUUCAGCAAGCUAUAUUCUUCCCUUCUAGAAAAUGUAGAACUCAUUUUAAAAAAUUUGCCCAUCCCUGGUCUUUGUCAUGACGUUUAUGGUUGGUUUUAGAAUCCUUCCUCCUCUGCCGAUUACACCACAAAUUAAGAAUACCAAUGGUUAGCUAAAAGAAAGUACCACUAGGAUGACAAUGAUAACUGGAAUUGGUUGUGGAAGAUGUUUAUUCCGGAGAAGAUUAGGUUGUUGUUGUGGCAAACUUUGCAUGAUGCCAUCCCUACUAAUGAGCUUCGGUGCACUCGAAACUUGGCCACAAGUAAUUGUCAUCAGCGCUGUGGAAAUCAUCAUUUACCUUGCAUUGUUUUUCGUAAUUGUGACAAAGUAAAUGCUAUUUGGCAUAGUCUUGGUCUAUCUUAUGUUGUUAAUUAUAGUACUGCAGAUUUUUUCUUUUGGCUCAAAUAGAGUUUAAAGGGUAGAGAAGGACUACUAGCGGCGAAAAUUUAGUGGAUUUAGAAGCAUAGAUAACAAGAUGUGUUCAAUCCUAGCGAACCUUGGUCUGACAUGAAAGUGACAAUGUUAAUUAGAAGUCUAAAUAUGAGUUGGUUUCU